rnacentral:miRNA from 1 species
UCAAACCUUUCUUCUCUAUCGUAGCUAGAGGACAUGUGGACGAAAUUCAUUCAUUUAAUCAUUAGUUGAUCUAAAGUCAACGAUCUGACCAAACGUUUAUUUUAUUUUUUAUUUAAUUAUUUUAUACGGGGAGAUCAUUGACUUUUGAUCAAUAAAGGUCAAAUAGACAAAUUUCGUUCACAUGUCCUCCAACUGCACUUGAGAUGAAAGGUUUGA